CAACCUUCUCUUGAGGCUUUUAGCUUUA
rnacentral:piRNA from 1 species